GAAACCCAUUUACCAUAUUACACUUCUGAGAGUCAAGAUCUUAAUUGAGUAUGACUAGGCUACAAUUAAGGGUUCAAUAAAGGUAUGACUUCUGGAAGCUUCAGAGGGAAAUCUGUUUCCCUGCCUUUUCUCACUUUUGGAGGAUGCCUACAUUUCUUGGCUGAUAGACCCAUCCUCCAUCUUGAAAGUCUGACCCUCUUAUCUCCUUCUCCUAAAGACCUUUGUGAUUACAUCAUAGGACCAUCCAAAUAAUCCAGAAUAGUUUCUCUAUUUGAUGGUCCUUAAUUACAUCUUGAAAGUCCCCUUUGCCACUUAAAAUAACCUAGUCACAAAUUCCAGGGAUUAGGAAAUCUUUGGGGACCAUGGUGCAGACUACUACAUUUACUUAUUAAAAAGAUUAAGUUCAGGACAGGACUGAAUAAGGCUUUUCUUAAGGGCCAAAUUAAAAAAAAAAACAAAACUAAAUAUAAAACACUUUAAGUACUUUAAAAAAAGUUGGAGUAUAAAACACUUUUUACCCAACGUAAAGCCCUUAUGUUUUAGGAGCUUAAAAUCAUACAUAUGAAACAGAGACAUGGUUAGCAUAAGGAUAACAAAAUAUUACGUGUUUAGGUUUUUAUUUUUAUUUUUAUUCUUUUUUUAGAAAUUUCUACUUAAAAUAAUUCACUUUAAAACACAUCCAUCCUGUUAUUGGGAAUAAAUGCAUGGAAUACAUAAAAAGGCAGGAGGAAAAAGUACCAUGUGUUGGAACUUGAAAAUAACAUAAGAGGUCAAAAAGUUAUAUGUCACACAUUCAAGUGUGAUAACAAAAAUAAUUUUUAAAAAUGUAUUAGUCAUCAAAGUGUGUUCGUUUUUUAAUUUGUGAGAUAGAACAUGAAAGACAGAAAUAUUUUGGAGACUGUGAGAUUCAUGGAGUUCCUAAAGCCCAGAUCUCUGGCCUGAACAGCAUAAAUGUGACUCUUUGAACCAUAUUUGGAUUCUGAUGAAGCAUGGAAAUCAGUGGUAGGUCUGAAACUAAACCGUAAUUCACUCUAAUGGUUUGUUGUGAUGGUCAAAAUGAGAGAGAAGUUAGAUUGUGUGAACUACAAACUGAAGAAUUUUAUGUUCAUUCUGAGCAAGAUUAUAGAACCUAAAAAUAAACUCAUUAUUUUAUGACACUUACUAGAAGGAAAAACAAGCACUUAGACCCAGGAUAGAAACUGAAACUAUUGUUUUGGGAACAGAACACUAGACUAGAUCUAGGUUAACCUGGAAGGAAUUUUAUAAUUGUAAAUAGUAGUACACUAUUCCUAAGAUAGCCAUCAGCUAACGAGUGUUAGUUUUAUUAAAAUUACUCGGUAAGGUACUUAAAAAUGUAAUUUCAUUCAUAUGAAAUAUCAAGAAUUUACAAAUCCAUAGAGGCAGAAAGUAGAUUGUGGUUGCCAGGGACUAGGGGUAGGGCGAAAGGGGAGGGAUGCUUACUGAGUUUGGGCUUUUCCUGUGGGCUGAUGAAUUACUCAACUAGAUAGUGGUGGCAGUUGCACAAUACUGUCAAUGUCUUUAAUGCCUCUGUAUGCUUCAAAAUAGUUAAAAUGAUAAAUUUUAUAUUAUGUAUAUUUUACCACAAUAAAAAAAUGUUGAAUACAGUUUUUUGGACAUACCCAAAAAGUGAGUAAAAAUAAAUGCCCAGGAAUCUGUAUUUUGAACAUGCAAAUCAGGAGAUUUUGAAAUGUAAGGACUUUGCAAAUUCUGUAAGUUUGUUUACAGUUGGGAUAAAGUUAUAAAGGUUGCUCCAGGUAUCUAUUGCUAUAUAACAAACCACCCCAAAGCUGACUUAAAACUAUAUGAAACAUGGGUUUUGAUCAUGAUUUCUAGCAGUUGGGCUUUCUCAAUGUUUUUGCUCUGAGUAUUGUGUUUUUUUUUUUUUUUUUUUUGCCGGCAGAAGGUGGUUGGGGCAUGGUUUUCUUGGAGCCACAUAGCCUCAUUUCCCCCACACUAUUCUACUAGUUGAGGCAGCACAAAGGCAGUUGAGUAUUCAAAAGGGGGGGGGUAACAGAUUGUAGGUUUUGAUAAAAGAACUGGUAGGUUGGGAAAAGUUGGAGCCAUAUUUUGAAAGUGCAAAUCACUGGGGUCCUGGGAUAGCUCAGUUGGUUAAGCACCCAACCCUUGAUUUCUGCUGGAGUUGUGAUCUUGGGGUUAUGGGAUUGAGCCCUGCAUUGUGCUUUGUGCUCAGCUUAGAGUCUGCUUGGAAUCUCUCUCUCCCUCUGCCUCUCCCGCCACUCUCACAUGCACACUUUCAAUGAAUGAAUGAAUGAAUGAAUGAAUAUUCUGAAAAAAACACACAUGCACACAAGCUUAGAAAGUGUAACCUGAUGGAGGGCAUGCCCUUUGAAUUUAGAGUGAAUACUUGCUCAGGAUUGCCAUAGAUUUGAAAACUUGAGAUCAACCUAACAGGAUAAAAUUUGACUUAAAUUUGUAUGUCUUUAUUCAUAUAAUCUAAUCAUCUAUGCAUGAAGAAUGAUAAAGCACAGGAACAGCAUGGAGCACAAGGACUUGGAGGCUUGCUCUUUUUUUAAAAAUAUUUUAUUUAUUUAUUAAUGGGAGACACACACAGAAAGAGAGGCAGAGACAUAGGCAGAGGGAGAAGCAGGCUCCCUGUGGGGAGCCCCAUGAUGGGACUCAAUCCUAGGACCCCGGGAUCACGACCUGAGCCUAAGGCAGACAGUCAACCACUGAGCCACCCAAAUGCCCCAGGAUUUGGAGUUUUAAGCCAAAGUAGGAUCAUCCAAAGUAUAAGUUGAUAAAUCUAUUUAUUUAAUGCUCUAUUAGUACAAAGUAAAAGAAAACUUUUUUCUAUACCUUGGAUAAGUGAUCAUUUUGCAAUAUGCUUAUUCUGCUGUAAAUUUAUUAUAAAUAUAUUGAACUUUAUUGAAUGCUCCAAAAAAUGAUUAAACUAUAUCUUUAUUCUUGAACAAUUAAAUUGUUUCCUCUUCUUUGAAAUAAAAAAGUGAUACAUAUUAUGUGCUUUCAACCUUCCUUGCCCCAUCUCGACCAAUAUUUAGAGUUACUUCUUAAAGACUGUCAUAAAAUUAGAAUAACUUUGUCAAAGGGUAAAUACUUUUUAUAUUCACUUCUCCAUUUUCCCAUAAAUAAUUCUUUUGAGUUUCUGUACCUAUAUUGUUGACCAAUUCAUUUAUAUGGAAAUAGCACUUUAACUAUAAUAUUUUAUAUAUACUGUAUGUAAUACAUUUAGAUAGAUCAUCAUAUUCGACCCUUAAAACCACCCUGGAAGAUACAUUAUUAUUUAUUAUUAUUACAUCUAUUACAGAUAAUAAAUGAGAAAAACAGGACUUAGGAAGGUUUAGAAAUUUGCUUAAACUUAAAUAGGUCACAGAACCAGGAUUCCAGAUGUUAUGAUUCCCAAAAGCUAAAACCCCUUUAGCAUGCUGUGCUUCAGAAUAUUCAAAUGAUGAAAUUAUAGUCCAGAAAGGUUAAAAUGAAUGGUAAAAGUCACAAAGCAUCUAAGUUUCAGGCCUAAAACCUAGUUUCCUUGAUGUUUUCUCGAGUUUUAUUUAUGCUUUUUUUAGCCCUAAAAUACAAAUUUCUAUAUAUUUCUUAUAUCUGGUGGGGGGGGGGAGGCAAAGGAAACUUAAUUAUAUCUACUUUAUCAAAUAGUCCUCUAGGGAUUUAUUUUUGUCAAAAUAAUCUUCCAUAUUAGUAAAACUUAAAGACCAGAACACAACAAAUACAAUGUAGCCCUUUCUUGAAACCCUUUAGAGAGCUUAGAUCAUAACAUUAACUACUAUAAACUAUUUACUUGUCCUAACAAAUUUGCUUUUAAUAAAUAUUGUUUUUAACUGAAUGAAACAUUCUGAAAUUCACUCCCAAAUUUUCUUAGAUGGUAAAGAGUUGUGUAAAAGCAAACUUUACAUGUAAUUUGUGAACCGUAGCAAUUACUAUCAUAUCAUUUAAAUCGCAGGAAGUGCUGACCUGUUUUACAUUUUAUUUUGGUUGUUUGCUUGAUUUUUGCCUCUUCAUUAUACCUC
rnacentral:lncRNA from 1 species